UUAACUCAGAUUUGUAUGGAGUUGGAACGUUUGCCUAUGUUUCCCGCUAGGGGCGCUGUUCCAGCCGCAUACAAAUAUGAGUUA
rfam:Bombyx mori DNA, contig: Bm_scaf55_contig27791, strain: p50T/Dazao, build 2, whole genome shotgun sequence.